CAGCGCACUUGUGACAAAUGAAGAAAGAUGGCGUGAAGACCAGCAGACCCGAAGAUCCAGUGCCGGAACCUAGUUCACGCCCCUUAGUCGAGGGGGGUAGCUGGAGUCUAUCUCAGCUGCAUUUGGGCGGAAGGCGGGGCACACCCUGGACAAGUCGCCAUCUCAUCACAGGCCCAACACAGGUGCAUGUCUCCGGAGGUGAGAGGGGCCUUUCCCCAGGUGCAUGUCUUUGGAGGUGGGAGGAAGCCGUAGUACCCGGAGGGAACCCACACAGUCACCGGGAGAACAUGCAAACUCCACACAGAAAUAUUGAACCCAGGACCUUUGCAUUCAAAGCUGCAGGCAAUCAGUAAUCAGCACAGCUGGUACUAAUGAAGACAGACAGAGUAAAUACCAGCAGACCUGAAGAUCCAGUGCCGGAACCUAGUUCACUCCUCGUAGUCUCCGGCUUCCCUCCUGCGUACUUGGUCUCGCUCUGACUUCAACCACCGCUUGCCUGCCCACGGACUGCCUUCUCGCCUCGCCCCUUCUGGUCUGAAGAAGGAUUUAUCCAAGACGCACUUACAACAAACUCUGAUAACAAUUUCAUGAUUAAUUCUACACAUCGUCUUAAGGAGUAGCAUACACACCCCAACACUUCAUCAUCAUGUUCAAUAAACCUAAUAAAGUGAUCCUUGCUGUUGUGUCGCCCUCCUUCCCCCGCCGUACGUAACGCACAGGACGCCAAACCUGCGCCACAUUAACAGGAAGCAGAACAACU